GUGGGGCUCGUCCCUGGGCGCGUGGGGAAGCACGGUGGGUGGGUGUACGCCACAUGAAGAGCAGAGAAGCCCACCCACCAGCGGGGAGAAGCGGCCCCGGGCUAAACAGGGCGGCUGCCACCCACGCGGCUGUCCCAUUACAGCUGGCCC